rnacentral:ncRNA from 1 species
CUACCAAUAUCGAGAGGUGUUGGGAUGGAAUGACAGAAGUCAGCCGACGCCGUAGUAGUGAUAAUUAACCCGAAUUCUGCUUAAGCC